rnacentral:rRNA from 1 species
GAUGAACGCUGGCGGCGUGCAUAACACAUUCAAGUCGAACGGACAAAGGGACUUCGGUCCCUGCGUUAGUGGCGGACGGGUGAGUAACGCGUGAGCAACCUGCCCCUGCGUGUGGAAUAACGUUUGGAAACGAACGCUAAUACCGCAUGAUGCAUAGGAUUCGCAUGUUUUCUAUGCCAAAGAUUUAUUGCACAGGGAUGGGCUCGCGUCCGAUUAGAUAGUUGGUGAGGUAACGGCCCACCAAGUCGACGAUCGGUAGCCGGACUGAGAGGUUGAACGGCCACAUUGGAACUGAGAAACGGUCCAG